rnacentral:rRNA from 1 species
CUUAAAUUGAAGAGUUUGAUCAUGGCUCAGAUUGAACGCUGGCGGCAGGCCUAACACAUGCAAGUCGAGCGGCAGCGACAUAAACAAUCCUUCGGGUGCGUCUAUGGGCGGCGAGCGGCGGACGGGUGAGUAAUGCCUAGGAAAUUGCCCUGAUGUGGGGGAUAACCAUUGGAAACGAUGGCUAAUACCGCAUAAUGCCUACGGG